AUGGGGAUGCUGUCGCUGAAUCGCAUCUUGUUAAAGCAGGAGCGGAGGCGACGCCUUCGGCGAAUCCAAGCCCACAAUGAAUUGAUUACUAAAGUGCCAGAUAAAAAGGACUCACUCUGCCAACAAGAUGAUCAGUCACAGGGUGGUGAUAGGUCGACAUCUUCAGGGCCGAAUCUACCUGAGGAUAUCUGGUGCCUUGUACAUUCCCUAAUGCCAUUGUGUGAUUCUGCCCACUCUGCCUGUGUGUCUCGCACAUUUCUACGUUCUUGGAGAUGCCACCCCAAGCUUAUCUUCAGUGAGGAAGCACUAGGUUUGAAACAGAAGGAAGGACGAAAUAUCAAUAUAGCAUGGGAUUUCACUAGCAGAGUUAAUCAAAGGGCAGCCCGGUGCAUGUAG
rnacentral:rRNA from 1 species